UCUAGUGCAGGUGUUGCUGUUUCUUGUGCAUUUCUAGUGCAGGUGUUGCUGUUUCUUGUGCAUUUCUAGUGCAGGUGUUGCUGUUUCUUGUGCAUUUCUAGUGCAGGUGUUGCUGUUUCUUGUGCAUUUCUAGUGCAGGUGUUGCUGUUUCUUGUGCAUUUCUAGUGCAGGUGUUGCUGUUUCUUGUGCAUUUCUAGUGCAGGUGUUGCUGUUUCUUGUGCAUUUCUAGUGCAGGUGUUGCUGUUUCUUGUGCAUUUCUAGUGCAGGUGUUGCUGUUUCUUGUGCAUUUCUAGUGCAGGUGUUGCUGUUUCUU